rnacentral:rRNA from 1 species
GAUGAACGCUGGCGGCGUGCCUAAUACAUGCAAGUAGAACGCUGAAGGAGGAGCUUGCUCUUCUGGAUGAGUUGCGAACGGGUAAGUAACGCGUAGGUAACCUGCCUGUUAGCGGGGGAUAACUCUUGGAAACGAUAGCUAAUACCGCAUGACAACAGUUAUUGCAUGAUAACUGUUUAAAAGGGGCAACUGCUCCACUACCAGAUGGACCUGCGUUGUAUUAGCUAGUCGGUGAGGUAACGGCUCACCAAGGCGACGAUACAGAGCCGACCUGAGAGGGGGAUCGGCCAACCGGGGACUUGAGCAAGGCCCAGACUCCUUCGGGAGGAAACAAUAGGGGAAUUUCCGGAAUGGGCGGAAGUCUGAACGGGAAACGCCGGGGGAGGGAAGAAGGGUUUCGGAUCGGAAAGCUCGGUUGUAAGAGAAGAACGAGUGUGAGAGUGAAAAGUUCACACUGUGACGGUAUCUAAUCAGAAAGGGACGGCUAACUACGUG